rnacentral:lncRNA from 1 species
UAUACAAUACCCUAACACGUACUUAAUGAGAUAAAGAUUUAGGUGACAUUAGCACCUCUACUACACGUGGAGAUAAUGGUAAUAGAUUACACAUGCAUUAGGAUGAGGGAAGCUGCCACUUAUCAAUGAAUUUGCCAUAUAAGUACUAUAAGUGCUACAUGUGGCAUACAUGCCAAAUAUAUGUUGCUAAAAAGGAUAAAUCCUCACUUUCUCUCAAUAUAUACUUUACUCAAUUAUGAAUGAAAAGGUUGUUGCUUCACUUUAACUUUUUCUUCACUUUGAACAUUUUGUACUUCAUUUCAUUAAAGAUUUUAGUAAAUAUAGUUUGCAAGCUUUAUACGGACACAUAUUGUAUAUGAAAAUGCAUACAGGGUACUCGUGAAUCAAUAUACUUAGCAGAAAAAUAGUGUGAUGCUAUAUUCGAUCCUCAAAAAGAAAAUUGAUUAUUUAUAUCAAGUUCAAGUUCGGAUUGUAGCGGGACACUAUUCAGAGGCUUCUUGAAGAAGUUUUUUUUAGCUUGACAUCUAGGUAUGUUAGGCUUAUCGUACAUUUAUAUUGAGCUUAUUUACUGAAAUUGUAUACUAUUAUACUAGUUUUGGAUAAGUACUUGUAGUUGUAUUGUGUGAUAUAUAUNNNNNNNNNNNNNNNNNNNNNNNNNNNNNNNNNNNNNNNNNNNNNNNNNNNNNNNNNAUAUAUGGUUAGGACCUCGUUCUAGUAAGUUUUUGUGUCUUAUGUUUUAGUAUGAUAUAGCAUCCAUCACUUUAGACAUGAAAUUAAGUUGUGAAAUCUUGAAUUUAUCCCUUUUUAAUUAAUAGUUGUGAAUGGUUAUUUAAAUGUCUUUUAGUUUCCCCAUAGGUUCAACAUAUACUUUAUUUCUGUCAUUAAUUGUGAAUUUUAGUACCACAUUGGCAUUGAUUAUGGUAUGAUAUGGAUUUUAGUGUUACUAUGAGUUUCGAUUCGAGCCCGACAUCUGGUUUUGAUGAAUUGGGAGUUCUGGUAUUGAUUAUGACAUCUGGUUUUGAUGAAUUGGGAGUUCUGGUAUUGAUUAUGGUUGUUCUGGGAGUUGUGGUUCCUCUGAGUUCUGGUUCGAGUCCGGCAUCUGAUUAUGGUUGUGGUUCCUUUGAGUUUCGGUUUGAGUCCGACAUUUGAUUAUGAGUUCUGUUGUAUAUCAUAUAUGUGGCCUCUUGUUACUCAAUAUUUUCAGUUCGAAUUCGAAUUCGACAUAUGGCCUUUCGUUAUUAUCCAUAACUACUAGUUCAAGUCCGGUGUUUGGCCUUUCAUUACUAUCCAUUGGUGCCGAUUAAAUUUCGGUGCACAUCUGGAUGACUACUGUGAUUUUGUGAAAUGAAUUCAGUUACAGAUUAUUUAUGCUUAUUUUUAUUUGUUGUUUCUUGUGUGUUCCACCGGCUUAUGGGGGUACGAUUGGGUUAAUUGUCUUCUUCAGUGUGUCCAGCGGGCUUGUGGGGCGCAAUUAGGUUAUGUUUGAUUUGUUUGUUAUUACUGCGUUAUUUAUUUUCUGUAUCGCUUAUAUUUAUUCCUUUAUCGUAUUUGCGUAGCUUGGUAGUUGUUUACUUUUCUAGCCCUGUUUAUUAUUGGUUUAGACUACACCCUCGCAUUUUAGUUAUACCUUUUCGGUAUUAAGCUCAGGCAGUCGAUGAUGCCUAUUGAGUACCUAUUGCUUUGGUACUCAUACUACAAUUCUGCAUCUUUCCCCUAAUGCAGAUCCAAGUAGUAGCAACUAGCGUUGACGUGGUUCCUACCUUUCAGUACUGAGGGUGAGCUUACUGUCGUCCGAGGCUGAUCCUCCUCUAUCUAUUCCACUCUAACCUUUUGUACUGGAGGUUGUUUGUAUAUAUUGUGUAUAUCUUGAAUUCUAUCUAGUAUUCUGGGUAUCUUUCAGUAGUGACUCUAGUACCGACCUUACUCGAUCUUGGGUGGGAUUCGUUUGAAUAUUUGGUUCUUUUCCUUCUCUCGUUUUGAUAAAUAAUAUAUGUUUCCCUUCCGUUUCUAGCUUGUUAUUGCUAUUGCUACCAUUAUACACGAUCUUUUCUGAUUUCUACCUAUUAGCCCGUUACCUAUUAUUUUAGGUUAUGGCUUAGCCUGGCUUGCCUACUGGGGGAAUAAGGUAAGGUAGGCUUCAUCAUGACUUGAGAAAUCGGGCCGUGAUAGUUGUAUAAAAAUAGUAUAAUUAUUGUCUACAGUAUGUAUUUGUAUAAAAUUUCUAGAGAAACUGUAUAAGAUUGUAUAGGACUUCUAUACAAUGUGUAUAGAAAUUGAAUUAUUACUAUUCAAAUAUGUACAUAUAUAAUAUUUUUAUGAAAUUGUUGUGCAGAAUAUCUAUCUGCAUAAUUAUUAUUGUAUAGGACUUCUAUACAAUGUGUAUAGGAAUUGAAUCAUUACUAUUCAAAUAUGAACAUGUAUAAUAUUUUUAUGAAAUUGUUUAAUUGUUGUGCAAAAUAUCUAUCUCCAUAAUUAUUGUAUAGAAACUGUAUAAUUAUUGUAUAAUUAUUUUAUAGGAAUUAUAUCAAUUUGUAUUAUUGUUGUAUAUAGAUUUUAUAAUUAUUUUAUAUAAAUUGUUUCAUAGUGUAUAAUUAUUGUAUAAACAUUGUAUAAUUAUUGUAUAAAAUAUAUAUAAUUACAACUAAAGAUUGUAUGGAAUGUGUAUAAAAGUGUAUAGUUGUUGUAUGAAAUAUUGUAUAACAUGCAUAUAGAAAUUAUAUCAUUGUUGUAUAGAAUAUGUAUAUGUACAAGAUGUGGUAAAAAGUGUAUCAUCAUUUAUUAAAAUAUGUAUAUGUGCCAUUAAAAUAUAUUAUUUGUAAAAAUUUGUAUUUUAAAAAAGUAUAAAAUUUUAUUUUGUUACGAUAUUAUAAAUUUGUAUUUAAUUAUUUAAAAAAUUAUAAAAUUUUAUUUGAUUGUUUUAUUGAUAGAAUUAAAAAAGUAAUCGACUACAACCAAAAAAAGAGAAAAAGAAGAAAACAAAACUAGCAGAAAAACCAAAAACCAACAACCAACAACGAAAAAACAAAUACAAUUUAUACACUUUGUAUAAUAAUAAUAAUAAUAAUAAUAAUAAUAAAAAAAAAAAAAAAGCAGCAAAAAGAGCAACAACAAAAGUAAAACAAAAACUACAAAAUCAACAAUUUUUUUUGUUUAAAAAAAGAAAAUUCAAAAAAAGCUGCAUAACUAGCGAAAUGGCUAAGAAAUGGAAUUUUGAAUUCAUGAAUCGUUUUCGUGUCAUUUUUUAGAUCGAGAGACUGUUUUUGUCCUUUUCCCUUAAUUUUUUUUUAGAUCUUUUACUAAUAUAAUACUCACAGGGAUCCACCUGCACCUUCGUUUUUUUUGGUUUCCCAUUCGGUGUUCGGUCUUUUUUGGUUUCUCAUUCGGUGUUCGGUGUUCGCAUUGAAGUCCCGACUGAUCUGGAUCGCGCGUUGCAGGGCCCGUUAAGGUGGCAACACUCCCAACAGAGUUUUCUUCAUACCCAGGGUCGAACCCUCGACCUCUGAUUAAGGGUGAAGUAGCCCAAUCCACUGCACCCAAUUCAUGUUGGUACCUGUACCUUCUUUUAAUUGAAUCUUACUUUUUUACUUUGUUGAUAUCUAUCCUUUUUUUAAAUUUUCUUACAUGUUUAUAAUUUAUUGUACAAGGAUUUUGUUCGAUGAAAUUAAUUAAAAAUAAAAAAUUUAAUUAGUAAAUCAAUAGAAAAAUAUCAUGAAUGAAAAUGAUUAGUAUAACAAAUAAUUCAAUGCUAAUACAAAAAACACAAAUAUGUCAUCGAAUUUAUAAAAUUAUAUAUUUUAUGUUAUAUGGUAAAAAUAUGCCCAUUCACAUCACUAUUAUAUAUAACUAGUGAAGUUAGCCGCGCUUCGCGCGGUCAUAAAAUUAUUUAUGUUUCAUGCAGUCAUAAAAGACUUCAUUAAAUUUACGAUUUAAUUUUUUUAAUAUCUAAUUAAAUUUAAAAGUUUGAAAUAUUUAAAGUCUUUUUUUUACAUGAAAACAUUAAAUUUUACAUGAAAACAUUAAAGUACUUUCAUGUAAAAUAUUUUAAUCUAUUUUGGGUAGUUAAACCCAUAAAUUAAUGUACCUUAAUUUUCAACAGUUAUAAUAUUAAUUCAAGAAAGAAGUUAUCAUAGAGAUAGGGAGAAGAAAAAGCUGAGUGCUCAUUAAAUUUAUCUUUUUGUGACAUUUAAAUCUUUUUUAAUUUACUUUCAUAAGAUAAAAUACAUAUAUAUCCUUAGUAGUGAAAAUAAAUCUUGAAUAUUCAACUUCAACAAUAACAAAAAUUUAAUAAAUACAAUUUUUUUGAAUGUCAUAAUUGAGAUUGAAAUUUGAUAGUAAUUUCAAUUAAAGUAGUGAGUCAAUAACCAAAAAGAAAAUCAAAAGAAUUGAGAACUAUCAAUUCAACGUUUGCAAUUUUAAAGGAGAAAAAAAUGGAUUAUGAAGAAAAAGUUUAUUGAUAUUACCAUUUUCCAUUAUUUUAAUUCUAAUAUUUGCAACAUUAAUGAACCAUUAUUGGUUUACAUUCUAUAGUUGUAAUUGAUAUUUUUAUUCGUAACGGUUAUAAUUGUAAUCUAAGUGUUUAUUAGCUGAAUUAUUACAAGUCACGACGGUACAAUAUAUAUACUUUUUUCUUAAUUAAAUGUGUUAAGCUGGCGUACUUUUUAAUUCAAAUAGUUAGGAGAUUAUUAUUAUUUAGUAAAAUAGAGAAAAACAUCCAAAAAGAAAAAAAAAGAUCUUUCAAGCGAUAAAGAGAUACCACAACACCUUAUUUUAGAUGUUUAUAAGUAUUUAAAUUUAAUUUGUUAAUACUUUCAUAACUUUCAUCUUCUUUAAAAUCUAAAUCUAAAAAAUAUUUUAAAAAGAAAUCAGGAAAAAAAUUAAACUCUUUUGUCACAAAUUUAUAGAUCAAUUGGUAGGAAAUUUUCCUUCCCCUUUCUGUACCUGAAAUACAAGAUGAUAGAAAAUUAUUGUUAAGAUGAUUAUUAUUAUGAUCAUAAAAAAAUAUUAUUAAAAUGAAUCAAUAAAGAGAAAAGGAAAAGAUGAGUUGUAAUUAAGAGGAUUAAUAAAGUAAUUCUUGAAAUUUAUAAUGAAGCAUAAAAUAAAUAAAAUAAAAUUUGAGAAGACAAUUUUUUUUUUUUAAAAAAUAAAAUUGAAAAGCAGAAAAAAGCCAAAAAAUAUAAAUUUUUGGUCAAAGAACUAUAUACAUCAUCUUUUAAUAAACCACAUUUAUAUAUAAAUAUAAUAAAGAUUGCAUAUUUAAAGAUAAACGCUUAUAUAAUAAAAUAUCAAUUAAGUCUUAUGUUAGAAAUAAAAUAAUUAAUAUAAAUAAAGUGUAAAACUUUAUAAUAAAAUUUUGUUAUUGAAUAGUACAUCUUUUAUUUGGUGAAAUAGUUAUUCGACAAAUUUACAAUAAGUACGAAUAUGUGUAUCUCUAUUAUUAAUAAACUAUUAAAUUUUUUUUAUUUUUCUAAACUAAUUUGACCAUCUCUCUAGAUUCAUUAUACAUUCUUCUUUGUCUUGAUGAUAAACUUACACAAAAUUAAUUUGAUCAUUCUUUCUUUGAUGAAUUUUGUACCGCCAUCAAACUUCCUCCUUCAUUCUUGAUGAACUUGUGUUUGGUUCUUAUUACACAAGAAGAAACUUUGAUAAUAUAUCUAUAAUCUUCAUCAUAGUAGCCAUUUUGUGAAUCAUGUUUUCAAUGCCCUCUCUUUUGGUUAUUGAGCACAUGAUUGAUGAAAACAAUGAAUUUUUUUUUUAAAAAAGGAGAAACAAAUAUAUACUAAUAAAAAAGAAGGAGGAGAAAUGAAAAUGAGCAUCCAAAAACUCUAUAGAUUAUUGUUAUUUAUAGAUUGAUCAAGUAGUUGAGAAGGUAUUUUAUUAAAUAAAGAAUACAAAUAGUUGGAGGUUUUCUUAUAACUCAUGAGAUAUAAUUAGAUGUAGUAAAUAUGAUAUAAUUUUUUAAUUGAUAAACAAAUUAAUUAAUAAAAAGAAUGAUGGAAAUUUUUGUUUUUAAAAAAAGAAAAAAGGUAAAUAGUAUUGGAGACCAUAGAGAGGUGCCACAUCAUUCUCUCUAUGUUUCUCCUUUAUAUAUAUAUAUAUAUAUAUAUAGAUUUGACUCAUCUAUAUCAUUAUCAUUAUAAAAAUGAUUUAUUUUCACUAUUCUAUUUAAUGAUAUUUUUAGUAUCAUAAAUGACUAGAGAACUGAAUUAUAACUCAAUGAUCAUUGUUGUUUCAACAGUUUCUGACAAAGUUUUAAUUAUGUUUGUUUCUCCUUUAAUUUUUAAGCAAAUUAAAAAUAAUUUAAUGAUAUUAUACUUUAUAUAAAUAUACUAUUAUUUAUUGAACUAAAAAUGACCUUACGAUCUAUAAUUAUUUGAAAUAAUAUGUUUAUUAUCCCGCAUCGCGAGAUAUAUAUACUAGGUAUAUUUAAUAGUACUCUAUCAUUUAUAUUAGGAAUUUAUGUUACUAACUUUUUUUUAUUGAUUAUUUUUUAAAAAUCGAAGUUUAACUGUUAGUACAUCAUUUAGUGAAGGUAACAUUAUAAGAAAAUAAUUUUCUCCUAAUUUGCUAGUAUGAAUAAGUAAAAUAUAAAAAAUUAUUUUUGAUAUAAGAGACAAUCUAAGUAAAAAAAAUAAAAUGGAGGGUGUAUUAAUAUUCUGAUUGACGUUCUCACACUGUGGUUCUAAAAUAAAAAAUUACCCCAAAUUAUUUCCUCUAGAAAAUUAACUCAAUCUAGAAGGAUUUACAAUUAUUUCUCCAACCUUGAAUUCUAUUUACUGGUAUUUUUAGUGUUACAAAUGACUAGAAAAUUGAAUUAAAACUCAAUGAUCACUUUUGAUUCAAUAAUUUCUGACGAAAUUUCAAUUAUGUCCAUUCCCCUAUUAGUUUUUAAGCAAACAAACAAUAUAUAAUUAUAUUAUACUAUAUAUAAUUAUAUUAUACUAUAUAUAAAAUGUACUGUUGUUUAUUAUAGUUGAAUAAGUUCUUGUCAUCUAUAAUUAUUUGAAAUAAUAUGUUUAUUAUCUCCGCAUCUCACGAAUAUGUAUAUUAGUUAUGUUUAAUCGUACUCUAUCAAUUAUAUUAGGGAUUUAUUUUAUUAAAAUUUUCUAUAUAUUAUUUGUUAAAAAUCUAAGUUUGACUGUUAGUACAUCAUUUAGUGAAGGUAACAUUAUAAGAAAAUAAUUCUCUCCCAAUUUUCUAAUAAUAUGGACAAGUAAAAUAUAACAGUUUAUUUUUAGUAUAAGAGAUAAGGUAAGAAAAAAAUGAAGGGAGUAUUAAUAUUCUGAUUAAAUGACGUUCUCACACUGUAGUCCUAAAAUGAAAAAUUACCCAACUUAUUUCCUCUAGAAAAUUAACUCACUCUAGAAGGAUUUAUAAUUAUUUCUCCAACCUUGAUUCAAGUUCGGGAUUUGGACUCUAAAAACUGAAUCACAUUUAAUAAAGAGCACUUCAUCUUUAAAGUGAGAUUCUCAGAAGCAUUCCGAAUUAAAGAGGAUCAAAGUGAAUACUAAAUUAUUGAUUUUCUAUUGAAGGAAAAUAAGUCUUGUUGGAUUCAAAUUGAUAUAACGUUAUGCGGAAACUUAUAGUUGCAAACCAUAUAGACGAUAUUUCAGAUGACAAAGAAAACUAUUCUAAAAAGCAUAUUAGUGAUAUGGUUUGGUCCAGCGACCCACAUAUUGAAAGAUAAUAUUGAAAAAGCACAAAAAUUUAUUUGAGAGAAAAUCUCUCUCUGAGGAAAAUUCUUUAAACGACUACAUUGUGGAUACUGCUUUGUUUUAGAAUCAGAAGGACCUUUAAUUUAUGGAGGUACAAAAUGUUUCCUCCAAAAAAAAGGUUAACCAAAUAUAAAAGAGUUUUAUAUUUUAUCUUUUAAGAAAAAUAAAAGUAAUUAUGGUAUACUUUUAUUUUCAUUUCAAGAAAAGUAAAACUUAAAUUUGGUAAGAAAAUUAUGACAAAAACUCUAACAAAUCUCUCUUUUAACUUGAUUUUAUUGACUUAGUUUGAUCCGUUUUCUUCACAUGUAUGAUCUUUGUUCUUCACAUCAUCUUCAUCACUGCUACUUGGUAUGCUUAGAAUUGAGCUUUUUGGUUUGUAAAUAUAUGUGCCCUUUCGGGUUAAAAAUAUUGAAGCCCUUUGUAGAGUUAAAAGUGAGUUUUAUUUUUAAACAUGUAACAGCAAAACUAUUGAAAAUAUGAUUUAUAAUUGUCUCCACAUUUAUUUUCUUGACAAAAAGUCCUCAUUAUUGUCGAAUUGGAUGCAAUUUUGAUCUCAACUGUUCUAAAUUUGAACCAUCAGAUCAUUGAAUUAUAGCCUCUGCUACCACUUGUUGGGUUAAAGAUUAAUAUAACAUUAUGCGGAAGCUUAUAGUUACAAACUAUAUAGACGAUAAUGUGGAUGAAAAAGAAAACUAUUUUAAAAAAUAUAUAAUUGAUAUAGUUUGGUCAAACAACCUACAUAUUAAUAUUGGAAAAGCAUAAAAAAUAUUUGAGAUAAAAUCUUUCCCCUAAACAAAAUUUUUUAAACGACUACAUUAUUGGAACUCAAAAUCAAACUGAGCCUGCGGGCUCCCCAACAGCUCCAGAAGAUCCCUGCAAGUGGAGAUCAAGUUAAAUUCGUCAGAGUAGUUUUCAUUUAACAACGUAGAUAGUUUCAUGGAGUCAAUUGCUAUUAUUAAUUGAGAAUACUUCCUCUUCACUGCCAUUUUUAGUCCCAUGAAUAGGGCCAAUGUUUCAGCUUCCAAGGUUGAGUUAACGUUAAUAUUUGCAUUAAAACCAAAUAGCCAAUCCCCCUUUGCAUUUCGGAAAACUCCUCCAGCUCAUCCCUUCAUAGAUUGGUUAUCGAAGGACCUAUCUACAUUUAGCUUUACUCCUACAUAAGAGCUGUCCACACCUCUUUUCACAUAGUUUUUCUGACUUAGAGGCUCCUUAUUCCUAUUAAAUAAAUGUACUCUACAGUUCGUUCAUAGGCAGUAUUAAUAGGAAUAUUCAGGUUAGUUCCAUUAAAGAGCUUGAGUCCACUUUAAAUGGUUUUUUACUUUAAAAAACUUCAUUUUCCUAAAUUUAUAGAGUCAUUACUCUUCCUGAUGAUGAGGGUUAUUUAUUGUGAGGAAGCUAAGAUUGUUUUCUUCCCAAUUUAUUUUUACAUGGCUACAUUCUAGGAAUAUAUGCCUGAUAGUUUCAUGGCAUUGGCAUAUGUUACAAUGAGGAUACAUAUUAAGAACAAUAUAGUUGAGGUAAGAUUUUGUGGGUAACCUGUUAUGAUAGCACAAUCAGAUAAAAUAUUUAAUUUUAUUAAGGCAAGAUAGCUUUCAAAUCCAUUCAAUUUUUUUUCCUUCGUACUUAUUACACAACUUUUUCUAAGCAAUAUGCUCAUAAGAAAGACUUAGUAGUGAAUAAUCCAUUAUCAGUAGGCCUCCAUCUCAAUCUAUCAGGUAUUGAAUCAUUUAUGGGCAUGGCCAUUGUAACAAUCUUUCUAGUAAUCUCCCUAGGGCAGUCGUAGCUAAUUUUGUCCAAAUUCCACUUCCCAUUUUGAAUUAUGUCCCCAACAGUCAUGUUCUCAUCAUUAAUACUUGAGGGGGUGGGUGUUUAGAACCUGCGCUAGGGCAUUACUAUUGGGAAUCCAUUUAUCCCUCUAAAGUCUUGUGCUCUUUCCAUGACCCAGUUUCCAACUUUGACAUUCUUGACAUAUUCUCCACCCAAGUAGGAUGUUUCUCCAUGUAUUAAUACUAGACCUAUUCUCCUUAGAGGUGUCCCAAUGCCAGUUAUUGUUUCUUCCUUGUGCAUAUUUUUUGCACAAGAUCGUUGCCCAAAGGGAUGAAUUCCCAUUAUAGGUUUUCCAGGCUAAUUUAGAUAGUAGAGCAAGAUUUUUAAGACUACUUUUUUUGGAUUCCUAGUCCCCCAAGUUCUCUAGGCAUUGAUAUGGUUUCCCAGCUUAGCAUGGGAAACUUCUUCUUUUCGUUUGUGGUUUCCCAAAUAAAUUUACGCUGGAUUUGAUCUAUUUUGUCAGUAAUUUGUUUAGGGAGUUUUAUAUAAGUCAUUACAUGGGUUGGGAUACUAUUAAGGUAAGCUUUUGCAAGGGUAGUUCUUCCGGUCAAUAUGAAAAAUUUUGUUUUUCAACCAGAAAGUUUUUUCUUUAAAUCAUCAAUUAUGAAGCUAUAGUCCUUGUUUAUAGGACAUUGUCAAAAAUUGAGAAGACAAAGUAUUUCCCAAAGCUGUGGCAAUAUUUUUAUGUUGAAGAAAGUAGUUGUGUCAACCACUGUAUUUGGCAAACAAUUUUUUGAGAAGAUAAUCUUAGACUUGAUUUUAUUAAUGAUCUGUCUAGACAAAUUGCAGAAGUUUUGAAGUGUUUCUUUAAUUAUGGCACAACUGGUGACCUUGUUUUUAGACAUUAACACAAGGUCAUCAACAAAAAAAUAAAUGGGAUAUGUGGAGCCCAUGUCUAGGAUACUUCAAUGGGGACCACUUGCCAUAUUCCACUUGCUGAUUUAUACUAUGGGAUAGAAAUUUCAUACACAGUAUGAAGAUAUACAGAGAGAUGGGAUCGCCUUGGCGAAUUUCCCUAGUUGGUUCAAAAUAAUUCAUUCUUGUACCAUUCACAAGUAUGGCUGUAGAGCUGGUACAGAUGCAAGCCAUGAUGAGUUUGAUAAUAUUAUUUAGAAAGCUAAAGUAUUUUAAAGUAUAUUUUACAAAAGACCAUUCAAUCUUGUCAAAAGUUUUUUCCAAAUCUAAUUUCAUGAUAAAGUUACAUUUUUUUGAAGUGUCGAACAAUUUCUUGUACUAUGAUUGCAUUGUUAGCUCCUUGCCUAUUUUUAAGGAAAGCUUGUUUGGCAUCAUCCGAUAAUUUUAUUCAUAAUAGGUCAAAGUCUUUUAGCAAUGAUUUUUGUGAUAAUUUUGUACAAAGUAUUGCACAGACCAAUUAGGCUAUACUGCUUUAGGGAGGAGGCAUUAUUGCACUUAGGUAUAAGGCACACAUGUAUUUUGUUUAUUCCCCCCGAUACUAUUCUUUCACUGAAUACUUUUUUACAAAAAUCAAUAAUCGAAGGUCCCCAUAAUUUUCCAAUAUUUCUGAUAGAAGAAAGGAUGUAGACCAUCCGAUCCAGGGCUUUGUAGGGUUGGAAAAAAAUGCAUUUUUAAUCUCAAGGUCAAUUAGCUCUCUUUCUAGGUCGUCACUCUCUAUAAUUAUGAGGCAUACCUUACUUAUUGGUAUUGGCAGUAGAAGAGAUUUAUGAUUAUUAGUAGAGAACAUUUUAAGGAAAUAGUCUUUGUAUGCUUUAUAAUGGACGUUUGCUCAUCAAUCUCAGUGUUGUCUUCAAGUAAGGGACUAACAAUACAAUUUUUAUGACGUCUAAUGAGGGUGGUUGUAUGGAAGAAUUUGGUGUUUGUGUCCCCUUCUUUAACCAAUUAAUGCGAGACUUAAGCUUCCAGAAGUUUUCUUCUAUUUUUAGGAUAGUGUUAAAAUCACUGAUUAGAAGUUGUUCAAGAGUUUGGAGGAAGAGGCUAUCGAAAUAGUUUUCAGAGUUUUGGAUCCCUUGAAGUCUUGUAAGCAUUAUUUCGAUUUGUUUGAAAAUGUUUCCAAAGUUAAAUUUAGCCCAUUCGGUAGCCAUAUGUUCAAACGUGUUGAUUUCAUGGGGCAAGGAGUUGGUAUUAGCCCAUGCAUUAUUAAUAAUGUUAGGGAAGUCAGGGUAGGACAUCCACAUAGUUUCAAAUCUAAAAAACUUUUUGCGGAGGGUGGGAUCAAAUUUGUACAUAUGUAGUAGGAGAGGACAAUGGUCUGAAUGUGUACGAGGAAGGUUCGCACGUGUGCAUUAGGGUAGUUGACUAACCAAUCACUAUUAGCAAAAUAUCUAUCAAGACGCUUAUAUAUUAAUACGUUACGAUUUUUGAAACGCUUAUUUAGCCAAGUAAACCUAUUACCUUUAAAACCCAUAUCUAUGAGUUUACAAUUGUACACCAUAGAUGUAAACUCAGAGGCACGAGUUUGAUUUACUAUCUUACCUCUUUUUUUCAUAAUUGUGAAGGAGUUCAUUAAAAUCUCCGCCUAUUAGCCAUUUACCAGAAUUAUUAUUUUUGAUGUUUUUGAGAGAUUGCCAUAGAAUUCUCCUUUUCCACCUGAAAGUAUUUGCAUAAAUACAACUAAAUCUCCAUGUAUAAUUUAAAGGUCUUACCUUCAUAAUAGUAUGGAUCUCUUGAUCAGUGGUAGCAACAUCGCUUAGUUCUAGGAGUGAGUUAUCCGAAAGGACAGCAAGGCCUCCAACAUUACCUACAGCUGGUACCUAUAUCACUCUAUUGAACGGAAAGUAAUUUAGGAGGACCAAAUAAUACUAUAUUUUAGUCUCCAGGAGGGCCACAAGUGGUGGCUUGUGCCAGUCCACAAGAGAUCUAAAGUUCCUCCAAAAUUUGGGUCCAUUGGCCCCCUACAGUUUCAUAUUAUUAUGUUUAUUGAUAUGUUUAGGUGAGGGGGGUUUAUCAGCGGAGCUUCGCUUAAGGAUUUGUUCAAGGGGAUAUUCAGGUUUGUCAAUGUCCGAUUCAUGACUAACACAUCAUUCCUAAUCUGUGGAUUGAACGAGUGACGUAUGUCUAGGGAACUUUUUACUAAGUUCUGGGGGAAGAUAAGGAUGAAUUUAUUAAAGUAUUUUUCAUUAAAUAUUGUUGAAUCGUGGGGGGUGCACCACCUUAUAAGGGACUAGGUCCCUUAGAGCCAGAUACAAGCAAUAAAGCAGUAAAGCAACAAGGAAAUAAAACUUUGCAGGAAAGUAAAGAACACAAUAAUUAACGUGGAAACCUCCUUUCUCAAGAGAGUAAAAUCCACGGCUUGCCCUCACAAGCACUCAAGAAUCCACGAUAAUCAAACUCACAAUUACAGACUCUAUUGGAACUUAGCUUUAAGCUCCACUAAUUUGUCAUAACUUUAUUACAAACACUCCUUGACAACUCUGUCAAGAUCUCAUCUCAGUAUUGAUUAACUCUAACCAAUAUCAACUCAAGUAACUCUACCUAAUCACUCUAUAGACAUAAGAAAAACAUUACUCUUAUAAGAUGAGUAAUUCAAUUACAAACCAAGACUUAACUCAAGAACAAUUACUCUGUCAGCACACAAAAACUUGGCGCUUGAGCAAUAUUGAGUUUUUGCCAUUUUGUUCUUGAAUAACCAAAUUGCAAAAAUUAUUGAAUUGAGAACAUUAUUUUCUAUUUAUACUAGGAUAAUGAUUAGGGUAGAAUUUUAAUUGGCCCGGGUGUCUUGUCUGGUACACAACUUACCUCUAAAAUUUGUUACACUAACAGACAAAACUGCCCAGAGAUAUGACAGUUGUAUAUUUUCAUGAAAAUCCAAGGACCUGGUUCCUUGUUUUCAGCUAAUCAUCAUCAAAACAAGAUAUAACAAUUUCCCCUCUUUUUGAUGAUAACAAACCACAGAUCUUGGAGCAUCAAAAUUCAUUCACCUCAUUCAAUCAGAGUGAUCACCACUACUGUUAGUGAAUGUUCCCUCUAUCACUAUGCACCAUGCUUCCCUCUAUCAAUAUACCAAUAUGCUAACAUGAUUGCUUUUCUUUGUCAAUAUACCAACAUACUUCCCUCUGUUAAUAUACCUGCACUUAAACACAUCAUUCAACACUUGGUCCCUACCACAUGAAUUCAAUAUUUCCCUAUUUGGCAUUAUUGAAAAGUAAGAACAGUAAAGCAAGAGUAAAAUAAGCACAAGUCAGUUAACACAUGGCUAAUGGGGUAACACUAAUAUGAAGAACAACUUUUAAAGUAAAUAAGAGAUAGAUGAAACAUAGAAACAAGGUAUCAUCCAUAUAUAAAAGUUAAAUAUCAUUGAAGUGCAAGAUAUAAAUUUUCUGUUCCAUAGAAAAAGCCACAGAAAUUUAAAAAAACUAAGUAGGUGAAGGACUUAGGAAGAGGCUUUGGAGAAGUAGAGCCAUCUUAUUAUUUUCUGCAGCAUGACAGUGUAACAAUUCCUUGGUUAGUAGCGCUAUCUCUGCAUUCAAGCUAAGAACUUCAUUAGUUAGAGUUGAAACUCUCUUUUUUAGUUCAACAUUCUCAGUUCUAAGCUUUACACUUGGUUCCUCAUCAGAAAGUUGUUAAAUUGUCAUUUGCAAUUUGCUAAUCUCUACAUCCUUAGCAACUAUAUUGAGCUUCAAUUCCUGUAUUUCUUUGCUUAUCUCUUCUUGAGAGAUGGUUUUUGAUUUUUUUCCAUACACUCAAUUUUGAUCAGAGUUUUCAGACCAAACAGUUGUUUAACAGUUCCAGGAGUUCUAUUUUGACAGAUAAUUCAAAAAUAAUCAUACUCUAUUCAACUAAUAUCCAUAAGGCAUGCUAUGUCUUCCAUUCUUUCCAUGAACAACUUUACGUAUGUGAUCCAUCAUUAGAGUAGGUAAAAUGAUCAACUCAAAACUACUGAGACAGUCCAUCACGUACAAAUAGCAACUGAAGCAAUGUUCCUCUUUAGUGAUCAAGGUAGAAUCACUUUGUUAACAAAAUCAAAUAUUAAUUAAAACUCACUUUUGAGUGAUCUCCUAUUUACUGCAGCUAUAAAUUUUUCUUUAAUCUUUGGUACAUUCACCAUAAACUCUGUUGAGGGCUAUUAAUUUGAAACAAUCCUCACACCACUGAUGGAAACAUCCAGAAUUCUCCCAAGUAGUACAUCAUCAAGAUUUAACUUCUUUCCUUGAACCACAUCAGUCAUCUUCAGUCUGACUUUAGAAAAGUCUAAUGUAGAGUAGAAUUCCCUAAUACCUCAUCAAAGAUAGAAGGAAUGGGUCCUUCUAUAAGAUGAAGUUAUUUUUUAUGUUUAAGAAGCUCAACUAAUUCCAUCAUGCUUGGUUUUGUUAUUAUACUUGAGUCAAAAACCCUUUCAGUUAGUACUUUUUGAUUUCUCAAGAACCUGUUCCGAACUUUCUUAGGCACAAGUUUUCUUUCUUCCUCCAAUUUUCUUCUUUUAGAAGCACCGAUAGGUUCCCUUUCAGUCAUUUUCCUCUUUUUAGGAUCAGGUCCCACUAAAAUCUAUUGCUUUUUAGUAAGAUUUCUCUAUUUCACUCCAUAACUUCUUAUUUUCAACAGACAUCUUGUUUCUUAGGACUAAAUAGACUCCCUUUUGGGUUAUUUGAUAGAAAAAUGAGAUUUUCAGCAACCCAAUCAUCACUUUUCAUUACACUGCCAGAUAGAUUAUGUGCUUUCAAGAAUAAAUCUUUAUAAAGGAGUUGAGUGAAGAAGGAGUCUGGCUUUGAAGGGAUAUGAUAACUUAACUUGGUUGAUUCUUUAGAGAAAAUGAGAUUUUUAGUGAACAUGACUUUAGGGAGGAGAUCAAUCUUUUUACUAUUCUUUACUUUAGAAGAAAACUCAUAAAAAAGCUCUAUUUUCUUAGGAGAGGUUCAUUCGAGGAAGUGGUUGUGAAAAAAGGUUCAGUCAAGUGUUGUUUUGAUAGGGAUGUGAAGGAUGAAGCCUGCUUGAUGCUUUGAAAAAGGUUUGAUAGUGGAUUUUUAUCUACACUAAAUUCUGAGGACAUGACUGUAACGCCCCAAAAAUUUGUUCCUAGAUGUCACACUGUGCUUAUGACCAACAGUGAUCCUAAGCUAAUUCAUGAACUGACAUACUAUUAAGCAACUGAUUAAAUAUGUAUAAACUAAUUAAAUUUACUGUGCGAAACAUAUAAAUAAUGGAAUCUGUGAAAAUACAAUACUGAUACAACUUACAUUCUGAUAAGGUCUGAAACGAGGGACUGAAAUUACAAAACUGAUUCUAACUAACGUCUAUGAAGCCUCUACUAUACUGACUAUAGAUAGUUGGGAUGCGACUCUAACUACCACUAAUCAAUACAUAUGAGUAAGAAAGUAAAGUACAUAAAUAACAUCUAACUAAAGUCCCCGAAGUAAGAGGACUUAUUAUCUGCUGCUGGAAUCUGCAAUUGUCUGAUUCUGUCUGCACAUACUACAACUUGUACCUACAUUAUGAGAUAAUAUAGCACAUAGACAUAUAUGCGGAUCAAUACUUUCACGAUAUACUGAGUAUAUGAGGGUGAAAUGCAUAAGUAAAACAUCAUAUCAUAAUCAUCAUUUAUAAAAUAAUGCAUGCUAAAUGUAAAUGACUCACAUAAGCUGGAAUAUCUGAAAUACUGAAAUCUGAAAUCAUGAAUAGAAAAUCACACUUCAUAAAUCUAGUGAGUCAUAACAUUUAGUUCUAAAAGCUGUGCUAAUGUUCUGUUUAUAAAUCAUACCGUCUAAGUGAAAAAGAACUCACUUCUGAAUCUGAAAUCUAAAAGCUGCAAUCUGUAAGUAUUGUCUUUCUGUAAAGCAUAAUCUGAGUAAAACUGUGAGCCUUUAUACUUAGUUUCUAAAAGCUUUUCUGUUAUUCUUUUCUAUUAGGAAAACUUUUAAAACUUUUCUUUACUAGUAGGGAAAAAUACUUUAAAACUAUUCUAAAAAAUCUUUACUGAUAGGGAGGUUCUCUUAAGAAAUAGAAACCAUGCGAGCUACAUGGAGUCCAAUGUCUCAUCCUCCUAAAGAAGAAUCUCACGUUGAGAAGAGGUGUCAUACUCUUGCCAGGGAGUAUAACCUACUUUUUAUGUGAUCGAUCACAAGUUAAAUCUGUCAUCCAUAUAAAAAUGGGAAUAAUCUCAAAAUCUGUAUCUAUGUUGGCUACAUAGUUCUGUGGAAGAUAGGGCACACUAAUUCCACACUUCUCGCUCAGUGCUAAAUACUACUCCCUUUUUAUUUGCUACACUCAUUCUGUUGGAAAUCCACUUUAAAAUUAUCAUAAGGGUUUAUCUAAAAUCUAUUAUGCAUUUAUCUGAUAAAAUCUGUAAAUAAAGUUGAUUUGAAUUUUGUAAUCUGUAAUAAAUCUGAAAAGUGGAUUCCAUAGCUAAUCCGAUGAUAGAAAGAUCAAAGCUUUACUGAAAAUUUGUAAAUAAACUGAUAAUAGGAUGCUUAAAGCAUCAUCUUUCUCGAAAUAAUAAUAUUCAAUCUUGGGAUAAUAACCCAUGCUUCAAUCUCAUGUCAAAACAUCAUAAUAAUCAUGCUUGAUAUUGAAAACAAUGAUAGUUCAUCUUAAAAUCUGUAAAUUUACCACAAUAGGCAUGAAAAUAUGAAAAUAGACAUGUAAUUCAACUUUUAAAACACUUGAAAUCUAAAAAUCUUGCAAAGAAAAAUAAUGGGUAUGAAUCCUAAUUCAAAUCUCAUAAAUAAUCAUUCAAAAUCAUAUGAAUUUUAAAUAAAAGCUUGGUUUUGGGCACAUGGAUGGAAGAAGAUCAUUGUUCAUAAACCCCAGAUACCUUGAUUGAUGAAGUUUCUAAGAAAGCUUGAAUUUGAAUUUCUAAUUGUGCUCUUGAAGAUGGCCUCUUGAUUAUCUUGAAUUAGGAAUCCUCAAUUUUAAGUUUUCUUGGAGAAACAAUGGAGGAUUUUAAUUUUUUGGAGAGGAAGCUUUGAACUCUAGGUUUUUUCUUUGGAAGGGGAUGGAUGAAAAUAAGCGUAAUAGGCUUAGAAUGGGUUAAAUUCUUUGUUUUGGAUGAAUUAGGGCCUUGGAAAUUGACCAAAAUGCCCCUUUUAAACUUUAAGUUGAAACUGAAAACGUAAAAAAUUUUUUUGAACUAGGUGGCCACUGCGAUGCGCCACUAUCGCGGUGGCUUACUGGAGUUUGGACAAUUGAGAACUAGGCAUGCAACGCAAUGCGCCACUAUUGCGGUGCCCUAUAGUUUUGCCAUUUUGGCUACUAGCGCGACGCGCCAACAUCACAUUGGGCUACUGGAAUAGGACAAUUGGGAAUUUGGGCUUUGUCUUGAUGCGGGGCUAUCACGGAGGGCCACUGGAAUUGACAAUUAUUAUUUUGCCCGCCUCCGCGAUGCGCCAAGUGCCCAGGUGGCACACUGUCAACUUAAAAAUGUCAUAACUCCUUCACCGAGUGUCGAAAUUCCAUGUGCAUAAAAUGGUAUUCAUUUUUGAAGCAAAUCUUUGAUAUUCUAGGAGCGAAAUUAAGCUAGGAAAAGUAUGGGGUAUUACAAUGACUAUUUCAAGAAAGGAAUUUUCUGAAAGGAUUGGAGAGUUUUUAAGGGAAUUCUAAGCCCUUUGUGGGGUUUUAGGAUGAGGAAUUGUCAGACAAUUGAAGACACCUUUUUUUUUUAAAAAUAAACUUUAUCUCACUUGGUCUAUUUGGGAUUAGGUGCUCCUUUAAAAUAAAUUAGAACACCAAUCAUAAAAAGAACUUAAAGGAAUAAAUACGCACAAGGAUGAACAUUUCAAAAGAAUAAGAUAUGAUUGAUUUCAAUUUUGGGGUGACGCAUCUUUCCUUUUAGGAUAAGACAGAUUUAUGACACAUAUAGAGAAGACACAACUUGUUUUGAUAGAACAAAAAAUACACAUUUCUGAUACUAACCUGAGAGAUUAGACCAGGUCCCUCUCUUUCUUGAGUAAAUCCUCAAAUUAGUGUUUGUCUUAAUUGUUCUCUUCCAAAGUUAUUCCCAUGUGUGUAUACAAACAAAGGUAUGGUACUAAGUUAGACCAAUAAGUACAUACUUUAUCAAGGAUACAUGUCUCCUGAUAUAGCCAAUUUUACGGAGAAAAACUAAUUCAUCUUAGUAGGUCAGGUUAUUUGAUCAACCCCAGCAUUAACCUGUUCUUCACAAAUUGUUCCUUGUGAAGUGCCUUAGUAAAGAUGUCUGCUAUCUGAUCCUCAGUCUUGCAAAUAACUCCCUUCUCAAUAUUGUCUCUCAGAAAAUGAUGUCUUACAUCAAUAUGAUUUGUCCUCUUAUGCUGCACUGGAUUCUUAGCCAUGUUAAGACCAUUUGUAUUGUUACAAAUUAGAGGGACAGUGUCUGAGACAAUCCCAAAAUCCUUCAUUAGCUAUUUGAUCUAUAACAAUUGAGCACAACAAAAAGCUGCAGCCACAUACUCAACUUCAGCUGUAGAAAAAGCAACUGAAUUCUACUUCUUAGAACCCUAGGAGAUUAAUGAAGAACCCAAUAAAUGAGCCAUUUCUGAGGUGCUUUUUCUAUCAACCAAAUAUCCAUCACAAUCAACAUCAGCAUAUCCUAUCAUAUCAAAACUGUCUCAAGAUGGAUAAUAUAGGACCAGGUCCCCUGUCCCUUUCAGAUACCUAAGAAUUAUUUUUGCAGCUUUCAAAUAAGACUUCUUUGGGCAAGCCUGAAAUCUGGCACACAUUACCACACUGAGUAUAAUAUCUGGCCUGCUAGUAGUGAGAUAUAGUAAGGAUCCAAUAAUCCCUCUUUACAUGGUCUCAUUAACUGAAGGACCAAGUUUAUUAUUAUCCAUCUUUAAAUUUGUCCCAAUUGGAGUUUCAAUUGGCUUGGCAUCUUUCAUAUUAUAUUUCUUCAGUAUCUCCUUGAUGUACUUCUCUUGACAAAUUAUCAUUCCUUGAGAAGUUUGCUUGAUCUGCAGGACUAGAAAGAAACUCAAUUCACCUAUCAUGCUUAUUUCAAAUUCACUCCACAUUAGCUUUGCAAACUUUUCGCAUAGUGAUUCAGAAGUAGCUCCAAAUAUUAUGUCAUCAACAUAUAUCUGAACAAUUAGUAAGUUGCUACCUCUGGACUUUUAAAAGAGAGUAUUAUUAAUUUCCCCCCCCCUUUAAAGCCAUUUUCUAGAAGAAACUUUAAAAGUCUCUCAUAUCAAGCCCUUGGUGCUUGCUUCAAACCAUAAAGAGAUUUGUCCAAUUUAUGCACAUGAGGGAAAUCUGCAUCUUCAAAACUUGUAGGUUGCUUGACAUAGAAUUCUUCCUUUAAGUUUCCAUUCAGAAAAGCACUUUUGACAUCCAUUUCGAAGAGUUUGAGCCCCAUCUAGGCAGCAAAUGCAAUAAGAAUUCUAAUAGCCUCUAUCCUUGCUAUAGGGGCAAAUGUAUCAUCAUAGUCAAUUUUUUUCUCCUGGUUAUAUCUUUGAACAACCUCCCUUGCUUUAUUUCUAUUGAUAGAUCCAUACUUAUCCUGCUUGUUUCUGUACACCCAUUUGGUCCCAAUAAUUAUUUUGUCAAUAGGUCUGGGACCAGGUGCUUGACUUUACUUCUUUAAAUUGUUGAAGCUCCUCCUAUAUUACAUUGAUCUAGUCAGCAUUUUUCAGAGCUUCUUUCAUAUUUUAGGGCUCAAUUUGGAACAAGAAUACUAAGAAUUCCAUGAAAUUUCUAGCUUGAGAUCUUGUUUGGACUCCAGAUUCUAAAGGUGAAGUCAGAUUCUCGAGUGGGUGAGAAGAUUUGUGCAUCCAGUUUGACCUUCUAAGAUGAGUUCCAUUAGAAAUAGGUGAUUUUGGGUGAAUUAUGCAUUCUAGCGUUACUAUUCUAGCCUUUUUAGCCUUGUUUUAAGGAUGAUUCAUGUUCUUAAUGUGUUUAUAAUGAGAUAAAUGUGAAUUUAUAUGUCCAAGUAUGUUUUUACAUUGUUUAAUAGAGUUCCCACACAAGUUUUGAUUCAAAUUGAUCAUUUAGAAGUCAAUUGAGAAAACUAGUGUGACUAGCUUGAGCUAGCUGUUUGUCUAGUCUAUUGUGUUGGGUUUUAAUGUGUUUAAUGAGUUAAUAAGGUUGUUAUUGUGCGUUUAUAUGUGAAAAAACUUGGUUAUAAUUUUCAAUGGUCAAUUGGAUCAAGAAAAGGGUCAAAACAAGAAGUUAAAGUUCAAUGUGAAUUUAGCCUAUGCUUAGCUCGUGUUUCUAGUUCAUCGUUAAGGAUGUUGUGUUGUUUUCAGCUCUAAAUUAUUAUGUUUAAUGUUAUAGGAUGAUUUUUGAAUGGAAUAUGAUGAUAUAUGAAGGAUUUAAAAGCUUCAAAUCAAGUGAAAACAACUCAAAAAGGCUUGGAAUGGAUCACGGAAGCACAAAACACAGCUUGCCGUCAAUUUGG